GCCUGUCAGUGUCUACAGUCAUGGAUUUAUGGUUUACUGGGAAAUUUUGACGUGGUGAUUAAAACAUGCACAGCGCGACGACGUUUGAACUGUCCGGCGG